UACAAUAAUAGGAACGAGAAAAAAUCGAAAAGCGAAAACAGUUCCAUCCAUAAGCGGUGGAAUAAAUUAUGAAACUAACAGGAAAUCUCGAGAUGCAUUACGAGCGAUAUCCUAUUGCCUCGCCAUGGAUAAUCCCGCACCCUCGACAUUUAUUGCCCCUCGAAAAGCCAGCGCAGCACGAAAUAAAGUGCUCUCGUGAAUCGACCGUUUGAUUCCAAUAGCUAUGGGGGCUGCUUUUAUGGGAGCAAGAUGAGAGACACGAAGGGGAACCAGAAGCUGAAGAACGAAGAGGAAGCGAUACAGAAUCGUGGAAGAAAGAAGAGUGUCUCUAUAUGUGUGCGCGCGCGCGCAUACAUCGUGCCACAAGGGUAUUGUCGAUCUCCUCUCGCAAUUCUGUGAUGCUCGAACGGUGCACACAACAUCACGAAGAAAAGAGAGAGGACGAGUCUUCUGUGCCCGAAACUCGGGUAUUAUGAUCAUCGAACGUAAUACGAUAUGGCCAAACUUCGGAUAAACAUACACGCCCCUAGCACACGGGCUGACCUGAACCUAAGACCUGCCGGUGAAAUCAAUUUUAACGGACUGAAACUGAAGGGAAUUAUCAGAUUGAUGCGUAGACUUGGAUUUCAGUGUGGUGAAGAUAGUAACUUUUGAUUGUGAGAGAUUAUAUGGAGGGAUGAAAUUUUUGAUUGUUGAGAAUGGGAACGAUAUAAUUUCACCACCAUAAUUUUUUCAU